GAUGAACGCUGGCGGCGUGCCUAAUACAUGCAAGUCGAGCGAACGGACGAGAAGCUUGCUUCUCUGAUGUUAGCGGCGGACGGGUGAGUAACACGUGGAUAACCUACCUAUAAGACUGGGAUUACUUCGGGAAACCGGAGCUAAUACCGGAUAAUAUUUUGAACCGCAUGGUUCAAAAGUGAAAGACGGUCUUGCUGUCACUUAUUGAUGGAUCCGCGCUGCAUUAGCUAGUUGGUAAGGUAACGGCUUACCAAGGCAACGAUGCAUAGCCGACCUGAGAGGGUGAUCGGCCACACUGGAACUGAGACACGGUCCAGACUCCUACGGGAGGCAGCAGUAGGGAAUCUUCCGCAAUGGGCGAAAGCCUGACGGAGCAACGCCGCGUGAGUGAUGAAGGUCUUCGGAUCGUAAAACUCUGUUAUUAGGGAAGAACAUAUGUGUAAGUAACUGUGCACAUCUUGACGGUACCUAAUCAGAAAGCCACGGCUAACUACGUG
rnacentral:rRNA from 1 species